rnacentral:rRNA from 1 species
AUUGAACGCUGGCGGCAUGCCUUACACAUGCAAGUCGAACGGCAGCACGGGUGCUUGCACCUGGUGGCGAGUGGCGAACGGGUGAGUAAUACAUCGGAACAUGUCCUGUAGUGGGGGAUAGCCCGGCGAAAGCCGGAUUAAUACCGCAUACGAUCUACGGAUGAAAGCGGGGGCCCUCGGGCCCUGCGCCUUUGGGGUGGGCGAUGGCUGAUUAGCUAGUUGGUGGGGUAAAGGCCUACCAAGGCGACGAUCAGUAGCUGGUCUGAGAGGACGACCAGCCACACUGGGACUGAGACACGGCCCAGACUCCUACGGGAGGCAGCAGUGGGGAAUUUUGGACAAUGGGCGAAAGCCUGAUCCAGCAAUGCCGCGUGUGUGAAGAAGGCCUUCGGGUUGUAAAGCACUUUUGUCCGGAAAGAAAUCCUUGGCCCUAAUACGGUCGGGGGAUGACGGUACCGGAAGAAUAAGCACCGGCUAACUACGUG